UGCAGUAAUACGUGGCCGGAGCACGUGGAAGACGUAUUUCGCAAGUGUUAUCCGGAAUGAGUGUGCAUAAAGGGCUUCGAGGCUGUUGAGAAAAUCUGAUGUGAAAAUGCGGGGCUCAACCCCGUAUUGCGUUGGAAACUACUAGACUAGAGUAUUGGAGAGGUAAGCGGAACUACAAGUGUAGAGGUGAAAUUCGUAGAUAUUUGUAGGAAUGCCAAUUGGGAAGCCAGCUUACUGGACAAAUACUGACGCUGAAGCGCGAAAGCUAGGGGAGCAAACAGGAUUAGAUACCCCAGUAGUC
rnacentral:rRNA from 1 species